UACAGAGGGUGCGAGCGUUAAUCGGAAUUACUGGGCGUAAAGCGUGCGUAGACGGUUAUUUAAGUCGGGUGUGAAAGCCCCGGGCUCAACCUGGGAAUUGCAUUCGAGACUGAAUAGCUAGGGUACGGUAGAGGGAAGUGGAAUUUCCGGUGUAGCGGUGAAAUGCGUAGAUAUCGGAAGGAACAUCAGUGGCGAAAGCACUCUGCUGGGCCGACACUGACACUGAGAGACGAAAGCUAGGGGAGCAAAUGGG
rnacentral:rRNA from 1 species